rnacentral:rRNA from 1 species
UACGGAGGGUGCAAGCGUUAUCCGGAUUUACUGGGUUUAAAGGGUGUGUAGGCGGGUCUUUAAGUCAGUGGUGAAAUCUCCGAGCUCAACUUGGAAACUGCCAUUGAUACUAUUGAUCUUGAAUUCUGUUGAGGUUGGCGGAAUAAGUCAUGUAGCGGUGAAAUGCAUAGAUAUGACUUAGAACACCGAUUGCGAAGGCAGCUAACUAAGCAGAUAUUGACGCUGAGGCACGAAAGCGUGGGGAGCGAACAGG